AUUGAACGCUGGCGGCAGGCCUAACACAUGCAAGUCGAGCGGAUGAAGGGAGCUUUCUCCUGGAUUCAGCGGCGGACGGGUGAGUAAUUCCUAGGAAUCUACCUGGUAGUGGGGGAUAACGUCCGUAAACGGGCGCUAAUACCGCAUACGUCCUGAGGGAGAAAGUGGGGGAUCUUCGGACAUCACGCUAUCAGAUGAGCCUAGGUCGGAUUAGCUAGUUGGUGGGGUAAAGGCGUACCAAGGCGACGAUCCGUAGCUGGUCUGAGAGGAUGAUCAGUCACACUGGAACUGAGACACGGUCCAGACUCCUACGGGAGGCAGCAGUGGGGAAUAUUGCACAAUGGGCGAAAGCCUGAUCGAGCCAUGCCGCGUGUGUGAAGAAGGUCUUCGGAUUGUAAAGCACUUUAAGUUGGGAGGAAGGGCAGUAAGUUAAUACCUUGCUGUUUUGACGUUACCAACAGAAUAAGCACCGGCUAACUUCGUG
rnacentral:rRNA from 1 species